rnacentral:rRNA from 1 species
CCCCUAGAUGUUCUGGGCCGCACGCGCGCUACACUGAACAGUUCAACAAGUCUUAACCUUGGCCGAUAGGUCUGGGUAAUCUUUGAACGCUGUUCGUGAUUGGGAUAGACCUUUGCAAUUAUGGGUCUUGAACGAGGAAUUCCUAGUAAACGCAAGUCAUCAGCUUGCAUUGAUUACGUCCCUGCCCUUUGUACACACCGCCCGUCGCAGCUACUGAUUGAAUAUAUCGGUGAAAUAUUGGGACCGUGAUGAACGAAGCUUCAUUGCUUCUAUCAUUAUGGGAACUUUCUUAAACCUAUCUAUUUAGAAGAAGCUGAAGUCGUANCA